GACCGGAGGGAAAGUGAAAAAGGGAGCCGGAGGGAGGAAAGGUGGGGGUCCGAAGAAGAAGGCAAUUUCUAGGUCGGUCAAAGCCGGUCUGCAGUUUCCGGUUUCGAGAAUCGGGCGGUAUUUGAAGAAAGGGAGAUAUUCGCAGCGGGUUGGAAGUGGGGCUCCAGUUUACUUAGCUGCCGUUCUCGAGUACCUAGCUGCUGAAGUGCUGGAAUUGGCUGGGAAUGCAGCUAGAGACAACAAGAAGAACAGAAUAAUACCAAGGCAUGUAUUGCUGGCUGUUAGAAAUGACGAAGAGCUUGGAAAGUUGCUUGCA
rnacentral:misc_RNA from 1 species